rnacentral:rRNA from 1 species
AGCGAACGUUAGCGGCGCGCCUAACACAUGCAAGUCGCACGAGAAAGGGAGCAAUCCCCGGUACAGUGGCGCACGGGUGAGUAACACGUAGAUGACCUUCCCUGGAGUGGUGGAUAACCUGCCGAAAGGCGGGCUAAUACAGCAUGGGACCACAUGGUUUUGACCGAGUGGUGAAAGCGGGCCUCUGUUCACAAGCUCGCGCUCUGGGAUGGGUCUGCGUCCCAUCAGCUAGUUGGUGAGGUAAUGGCUCACCAAGGCAUCGACGGGUAGCUGGUCUGAGAGGAUGACCAGCCACACUGGAACUGAGACACGGUCCAGACUCCUACGGGAGGCAGCAGUGGGGAAUCUUGCGCAAUGGGCGAAAGCCUGACGCAGCGACGCCGCGUGGGUGAUGAAGGCCUUCGGUUGUAAGUACCGUCGUGGGAGGAACGGAACCGUAACGGGGACGGAACG